GAAAAGGGUGGUAAUGCCGGAUGCUCCGACUCCUCGCAUGGGGUGUCGGGAAAGAUUUCAUCGGUAUGGGAUGGGGUCGCGUCCUAUCAGGUAGUCGGCGGGGUAACGGCCCACCGAGCCUACGACGGGUAGCCGGCCUGAGAGGGCGACCGGCCACAUUGGGACUGAGAUACGGCCCAGACUCCUACGGGAGGCAGCAGUGGGGAAUAUUGCACAAUGGGCGCAAGCCUGAUGCAGCGACGCCGCGUGCGGGAUGACGGCCUUCGGGUUGUAAACCGCUUUUGAUCGGGAGCAAGCCUUCGGGUGAGUGUACCUUUCGAAUAAGCACCGGCUAACUACGUGCCAGCAGCCGCGGUAAUACGUAGGGUGCAAGCGUUAUCCGGAAUUAUUGGGCGUAAAGGGCUCGUAGGCGGUUCGUCGCGUCCGGUGUGAAAGUCCAUCGCUUAACGGUGGAUCUGCGCCGGGUACGGGCGGGCUGGAGUGCGGUAGGGGAGACUGGAAUUCCCGGUGUAACGGUGGAAUGUGUAGAUAUCGAAAAA
rnacentral:rRNA from 1 species